AUAAGCCCCUCUGUUAACUUUUGUUCAAGCCUGUCUAGAUCUUUUAUCAGUCUAGAAAGAUGUUGGAGAAAAGACAUCAUCCUCUUCUAUAAUCUCCAUCUGUAAUUGGACUAACAACUGGACCAGUGAAUGCAGGCAACUUACUCUCCAUUCGACCUUGCAGGUCACACCAUGGUCUCAAGAGGGAAAAUGAGUGCUCUAUGGAUUGAACAGAAAAGGUGAAUCAAAACUCCAACCAUCUGUAUGAGGGUCUGGAUGGAUAAAGGAUGCCCACUGGAGCUGGAAAUGAUGGAUCAGGUGGAUCCACACUUGAACCAUCUGUAUGAUGAUCUGCACCCACUGGAUCUGUAAAUGGUGGUGCAGAAAGACACAGCACAUCAUUAUAUCGUUGGCUCCGCCCACUGGUGUUCAGUCUAAAGUAGUAGUUGUUGACAAUCAUAAAGUUGUAAUAACAGUAAGAUUGUGAUGUCAGACAAACAUUGUGCUGUUGCUGGCUGUGGGAAAUUAGUGUCUUUGUAAGGGUCGCAAAUAAUUUGAAAAUAUUUAUGUUUCUAAAUAUGCCCCCCUACCAUGAACUAAACUGGACUGUUGCAGAGACCAAGUGUAGUAGGGUACACUACUAUGCAGAAUUCUGGCCUGGUGUUUGGUCCCCCCUUUCUCUGGCUUGUGUCUCCAUCAUCAUUACACUCUUGUCAGUGUAAUAGUAUCGUCGUCUGCAUACCAGGACUUUGUUACUCAGCUGUCCCUUCUCCUUCAAGCUAC